rnacentral:piRNA from 1 species
UGCAUGAAGAUAGGUGACUCAAAGACAUCUG